CUGAAGUAUACAAAAUAAAAGCUGUGAAAACUGACAAGAGUGGGACAAAGCCAGCUCCACAGGAUAAUCAAAAGGAAGUUAACUGCAACAUAUGUGGUUAUAAACACGGAUACAGAAAAUGUCCAGCCUUUGGAACAACAUCACUGUACUGGAAAGAAUGCAGAGAACGUUGCUGGGAUUCGAGUUAUAGGGAAAUGUUGGGCAGGGGAGAGAUGAGGAAAGAAGACGCGAAUGGAGAGAGUUGGUAGACCACCGAACAGGUGGACUUGGAGCAAGGGUUUGAAGAACAGUGAAGAUCGGAGGAGGUCGAUGGUGGAUAAUCGGCUAAUCAGUGAGCUCCAACAUUGCGUAAUAGACUGUUUCAUAAGAUUGGGCCCUUUUUCUUUUUUGUCAUUUUCUUUAUUAACCAUAUAGUCAAAGUAAGAAUUUUAAAGCUGAAUCAUUUAAUCGCAUAUUGAAUAUUGUUUGUUAUUUCGGGGUACUGAUUUGUAAUGGGACAUAACACACAGCAUCCACCCAAACAAGAUUUCUUAAGUUUGACCGGGCCGGGGGCUAUCACCCUCUAUACUAAGCCACUAGCAGAAGCAAGAGUUAUGUAUAGGAGAUGGAGAGGUGACUUUAUAGAAGUGUAUAAAAUGAAUGGUGUAGAUAGAAUGAAUGCACACAAUCCUUUCCCCAUUGCAAGGGAGUCUAAAUCUAGAAGACUUUAAGGUGAGGGGAAAAGAUUUAAAAGGAACCUGAGGAGAAGCUUCCUCACAGAAAGUGGUCUGUAUAUGGAAUGAGCUGCCAGUGGAAGUGAUUGAACUUCAAAGUCCAUUUAUUAUCAAAAUGUGUAUACUACAUACAACCUUGAGGUUUGUCUCCUUACCUGUAGCCACAAAACAAAGAAAACCAAUAGAACUCAUUAAAAAACCAUCAAACACCCAAUGUGCAGAAAAAAAGCAAGUCAUAUGAACAACAAAAACAGGUAAGCAACUGAAUUUGGCAAAAGUGAGUUCAUAGCCAUGAAAUCAGUCAUCACUGCAGCCUUGCUGGUCCAGAAACAACUUUUACAAGAUAUUUGGAAAGUAUGUGGAUAGAACAGGUUUUGACAAACACGAGCCAUACACAGACAGAUAGGACUAGCUUAGAUGGGUUUCUUGAUUGCCAUGGAUGCCUUGGACAGAAGGGUCUGUUUCUGUUGUUACGAAUGAGGAGCAAAGUCGAAUCACAAAAUUGCUAUUAUUUCUGGUCUGAUACCCAGGAAAUGAGAGAGAUACACAGCAUGUCAGUAAUGAGAGAGAGACGCAGGAUAACAGAAAAGGCAGUUGUUAUUGACAACGCAGGAAUACACAAAAGUGGAAUGUCUCCUUCUAACAAAAGUGGAAUGGAACCACUGAUUACUGCUAUUGUCUCUUGGAGAAGGAAUUGUGUAUUGAGUACUGUACUAGUCAUUGAAACCCCUCAGGGGGCAACCAGAGUGGUCUGGUUGAGGGAUUGCAUCAUCCCAACCUGAUUGACACCUGAGACCCCGUGAAGAGUGUGUCCACCCUUGCCUGGGUGAUGAGUCCUCCAUGGAACGGUUUAGCUAAAGGAUGGAUACGGAUCAAGAUCAUAACAAGGGAAGUCUGCUAGUUUCUCUCUCUCUCUCUCUCUCUCUCUCUCUCUCUCUCUCUCUCUCUCUCUCUCUCUCUCUCUCAAUUGCCACACGGUGAUCAGCAUUGACUGCAGCCUGUAUGAACUGAACUGAACUUUAUAUUUCCAUUGGACAAUUCAUUAUCCCCUAGACAACGAUAGAGCUUAUUUCUUAUUGAUGAUUAUUAU